CCCCACCAAUCCCCCGUCUCCUAAAGCCCCGCACCCCUCCUCCCCUGCUCUCGCACCCCGCGUCGGGCCGCCGCCGUUUCUCUCGGUCUGCUCGGAGGGACGGAGAGGGUGAGUCCAUGGUCAGAUGAGGGAGGAAGACAGAUGACGGGGUGGAUCGGGUACUCGAGGAGGACGCCAAGGCCCAGCAGUCUCCCCCAAAUCUCGUCGCCUCGGGCGUGGAGGCGAGCUUCCCGGCGACGUAGGCGUAGCGCCGCCAAGAGGUCAGCAACGAGGAGGUUCACCAGUCCGUUUCGUCGUCCUCGUCCCUAGGCGUCUGUUGCUGGAGAGAAGGACGCCAAGGCCCAGCAGUUUGUGACGGCCCCACCGGACGACGGACCCGGCGGGACAGCGGGCUCUAGCUUUCUCUCCCUUCUUCUUCAUCUGGACAGAGAAUGACUCUGCUCAGAUGCAUAGUCAGGCAACUCACCGGAGAGAGCUGGGAUGGAGGCGACUCUGAGGAAGAUGAAGGCCAAGAGCGGUGCCGCUGCCGGGGAGAGGAGGCCGGUGCUGUCGAGGACAAUACUGCUCCUCUGCGCCUGCAGCUUCAUCCUUGGCGUGCUCUUCACCGACCGGUUCAGAGCGAUGCCGGAUUUAAAGAGCCAGGUGGUGGCGCAGCUGCGGUGACAGGAAGAGGAGCUGCAGAUCGUUUCUGAAGAUUUUGUUGCGAUCGACAGCAUCCAUUUUUUGGCUCCUGGUUUAUUUCAGAAAAAGAACAAACGAGAAACCAUCCUACGACAGGGACGUGAUGGGGAAGUGGCAAAGACUCAUGAGGCCAUACACAUGGGAUUAGGACGACACACUAUGCCAUGUACACAAAAGGGAGGCAUGGAAGUGGACGUUGAGCAAACAGACGGGGUUCCUCAUCCCCAAGAAAACCCUAGCCUAGCGCUCUGGGAUGAUGUUGGUGAUCGCGCCGGCGCCGGCCUGGGCCCAAAGGCGCGCUUCGUCCUUGAUGGUGGAGCACAGGUGGGAGACAGAGGGUCGGUCCCCGUCGAAGGUGCAGCUGUUUCUAUGCUUCCAAAUCCACCAAGCGGUGAGGAUGAUGAGGGAGGAUAGGCCUUUACGCAUGGCAGCGGGCGCGAGAGCACAAGAAGAGGCCCAACGAUGCAACACCUGCUGGCUGGCUGCUCCUUCUCCCGCCAGGUGUGGUACGAUGUUCUUGCUUGGGCUCGCUUCCCCACCGAUCUGCCGACCGGAGACACCGACUAGAAUAUUGAAAAAUGAUCUGAAUUGUUUGCACUUCUGCGUUAUAUAUCUAUUGGGGGACUAAUUGGUAUAUAUCAUAAUUGUAUCUAGAUAUUUAGACAAGUUGAUCGCCACGCUGCAGAUGGAGUUGGCAGCGCGGUUCAGCAAGCAUGAGCUGCUUGAGAGUGCGGAUGGCAAGGCAGGAAAGGAAAAAGGCUUUUAUGGUGAUCAGGAUCAAUACCGCGUUCAGUAGCAAGAAGCGCCGUGAUUCUGUCAGGGAGAGAUGGAUGCCUCAAGAUGAGAAACUCAAGAAACUGGAAGAGGAAAAGGGAGUCGUCAUUCGAUUUAUGAUUGGGCAUAGCUAUGAGUCAACUGUGCAUGAACUGAAAAGGGAAGAUUGAACAAGUUCUGAGCUGCUAUCUGGAACCAUAAGUAUGCAAGUUUUACAAAAUAGUUUGGAUGAAAAAGCAAAACAAUACAAGGAGCCUGCGUAGAUGCACAUAUUUUUGAUGAAUAACACUCAUUUUAGUGUUAUAUCUCAGCUUGUAUGUCAGUAAGUGUGUAAGUUUAGUCUAAUACUCGCUUUUCUUUUUCCUCAGAUCAAAAGCCAAGGAUUUGUUGGGUGAUAGCUUGAUUCUAAGGCAUUAAUAGAUUUACAACACUUCCAAAAAUUUACUGGCAUUUUGUAUUAUAUUUAUUCAAGUCGCUGAUUGAUUCUUGACCAUCACUUGAUCAACUAUAUUCAUUUUCUAAUACAAAGCCACUUCGCUAAUUAUCUUAUGACUAUUGAAGGGUUUAAAAUAUUCAGGUAUUUCAAGUGACCAACAAGUGUUAUUUCAGUAAUUUGAAAUCUCCUGUAUUCAGAGUUUAGUCAACUCUUAGUCAUGUUCUUUAAUAAUCAUUAGGUCUAAUAAAAGUUUAGAACGAUGCACUAUUUUCCUGAAUUUUGACUAGGCAAGUGCAUCUUUGGUUGCGCCGAUCGGAUCGGAUUCAAUGCGUACAUCGUAUUGAUGGACUGCUGACCGCUUCAUCUGGUGUUUCCUCUGUCGUGUGAGUUGCAUGUUGUUUUGAGAGCUUGAAGCAAGCAGAAAGCCGAUGGAGGGGCUUAGGGAUGAUGAAAGCAUUAGUGACGACAUCAGGCGAGAGAGUAUCGAGACUGCAAAUCGCUUUCCUGUUUCUGCAUUUCUUACUGUAUAUGUAACUUUGGCAGUAUUCAGAUCGUAUAGCCUACGGGGAGCAGUGGAAAACAUAAUUUGUUGAUGCUUAAAAUUUGGAGUGGUAUGUUUGAUACA